rnacentral:rRNA from 1 species
UAAACAUUGAUAGUUCAUCACACCUACUAUCCGCCCGGGGACUACAAGCAGUAGCUUAAAACCCAAAGGACUUGGCGGUGCUUAAGAUCCACCUAGAGGAGCCUGUUCUAGAACCGAUAACCCCCGUUCAACCUCACCCUCUCUUGUUUUUCCCGCCUAUAUACCGCCGUCGUCAGCUUACCCUGUGAAGGCUUAAUAGUAAGCAAAAUUGGCACAGCCUAAAACGUCAGGUCGAGGUGUAGCGUAUGAGAGGGGAAGAAAUGGGCUACAUUUCCUAAAAUAGGAAAUACGGAUGUUGCACUGAAACGUGCACUUGAAGGAGGAUUUAGCAGUAAGCAGAAAAUAGAGCGUCCUGCUGAAACUGGCCCUGAAGCGCGCACACACCGCCCGUCACUCUCCCCAAGCUUUAACCUUUUCAUAAUUAAUAAACUAUAACUGCAAAGGGGAGGCAAGUCGUAACAUGGUAAGUGUACCGGAAGGUGCACUUGGAUAGAC